rnacentral:misc_RNA from 1 species
AGAGAGAGAGCAUGGCAGCAAAAAAAAAAAUACAGAAAAAGAAAGUGCAGUACAGAAACAGUGCAGGAACACUGCGGGGGAGAGAGAGAGAGAGAGAGAGAGAGAGAGAGAGCAUGGGAGUCCAAAAAAAAAAAGAGAAGAAAAAAAAAGAAAAAAAACCCAGCACAGAAAAGGGGGGGGGAGAGAGAGAGAGAGAGAGAAAGCAAGCAUGGCAUUGGCAGCAAAAAAAAAAAA